GUAGUCGGAUUGGCAUCAAUCUACAUAUAUUGGGGUGGAAGGAGUGAAACUUGAACCAAAUUCCACCCCAAUCCACUCCAACAUAUGUGGAUUGAGGUGAAUCCGACA
rfam:Sorghum bicolor cultivar BTx623 chromosome 1, whole genome shotgun sequence.